AAGUAUUUUCUUUUCUUUUCAGACUUGAGUUACACACAGUGAACAGCAGGGGACACAAAAUUCAGAAGUUAUUCUCUACAUAGCAAUGCACAAUGAAACCUCAAGUUGUAGUGGAAAGCAGAUGAACUUUGGAGGCAGACAGACUGCUUGAUUCACCUUACUCCAUCACACGUGUCUGAGCAGUUGUCAUCUCCGAGAUAUCUUUUCUGAACACACUGCCUGAAAUACUCCCCACACGGCCAGUUAACUAUCCUCGUGACCUGCUUCAUUCUCUUCAGUUUCUGGAAUUAUAAAGCUUGCCAAAGGUGGUAAGUGUAGAUCCCUGGGUUGACAUUAUCUGUUCCUGCCAAUCCACAGCCAACCUUAAACUCUGCAAGGAUGCAAGGAGGUUCAAAAAUUUAAGACUGCCCCAAGAGAUUAAAGAAUGCCAGCUCAGUGCAAUGGACUGAAUGUCAUGACCCCCUCAACAUUCAUAUGUUGGAUCCUACCCCCCUUCAAUAUGAUGGUAUUAGGAGGUGGGGACUUUGGGAGAUAAUUAGGUCAUGAGAGUGGAGAUCUCAUGACUGAGACUGGUGUUCUGAAAAGAACUCAAGAGAGCUCUCUUGCCCUCUUUCCGCCACAUGAGGAUACAAGCAGAGGUCCGGGGUCUGCAAUCCAGAAGAGAGCUCUCACUAGACACUGAAUCUGUUGGAUCCUCCAUCCUGGACUUUCCAGACUCUAGAACUGUGAGAAAUAAAUGUUUGCUGUUUAAGCCA